rnacentral:rRNA from 1 species
CUACGUGCCAGCAGCCGCGGUAAUACGGAAGGUCCGGGCGUUAUCCGGAUUUAUUGGGUUUAAAGGGAGCGUAGGCUGGAGAUUAAGUGUGUUGUGAAAUGUAGACGCUCAACGUCUGACUUGCAGCGCAUACUGGUUUCCUUGAGUACGCACAACGUUGGCGGAAUUCGUCGUGUAGCGGUGAAAUGCUUAGAUAUGACGAAGAACUCCGAUUGCGAAGGCAGCUGACGGGAGCGCAACUGACGCUGAAGCUCGAAGGUGCGGGUAUCGAACAGGAUUAGAUACCCUGGUAGUCCGCACAGUAAACGAUGGAUGCCCGCUGUUGGUACCUGGUAUCAGCGGCUAAGCGAAAGCAUUAAGCAUCCCACCUGGGGAGUACGCCGGCAACGGUGAAACUCAAAGGAAUUGACGGGGGCCCGCACAAGCGGAGGAACAUGUGGUUUAAUUCGAUGAUACGCGAGGAACCUUACCCGGGCUUGAAUUGCAGAGGAAUUAUUUAGAGAUA